GUUCGAAGUGAUGCCCACUUCUGACGACCUCAACAUGGCGUGUUGCAAGGUGAAGAGUAGAUCCACUAAAGCAACCGAAGUGUCCCUCAAAUCCGAAGCGUUGAGCACUCCGAGACACUCCCUUAACAGAUCCCUCCUCCGCCACUGUCAGAAAGAUAAUCUGUGAGAAUCUCCUCUGCCUCCAAAGAUCAAGUGAUGUGAUGUCUCCAUAGGUCUAGUUGAUGUGAUUUAUCAACUUUAAGUGACUAAUCAACUUUAUGUCAACUCAACUCAGAAGAACUAAUUGCCCGCCCACUCUAGAUUCGGCUGAUUGAUGCCUAUGAGCGGACACCUCACACCGUCAGAUGCAUACAUGUGUCCCACAUCCAGCGGUGCUCUACCUCUAUAAAUACCCAAGGUUUGACAAGAGACAAAGGUAAUGAAACUCUUAUAACUUAGCUCUCCAUACUAAGAAAUAUAUAUUCUCCUCCCCACUCUCUUGCAUAACUUGAGCACUAUUCCAAUCAUCCAAUGUUGAAUUGACCGUCGGAGUGUAUGCGACCAUCACCACCACCGCUAGUUUCGGCCGUAUGCUUUUGAUCGUGCGUUGUUGUGCGCAGGGAGGAUUACAUGGAGUAGCUAUUCGUUGGCCACGUGGAG
rnacentral:lncRNA from 1 species